rnacentral:sRNA from 1 species
GAGGCCGGAGGUCAACGCCCGACAGCGCUAUGCGCCCUCGGGCGCAAAUGUG